UACGUAGGGGGCAAGCGUUGUCCGGAUUUAUUGGGCGUAAAGCGCGUGUAGGCGGCCAGAAAAGUCCGCUGUGAAAGCUCGAGGCUCAACUUCGAGCUGUCGGUGGAAACUUUCUGGCUAGAGUCCGGAAGAGGAGAAUGGAAUUCCUGGUGUAGCGGUGAAAUGCGCAGAUAUCAGGAAGAACACCCGUGGCGAAGGCGGUUCUCUGGGACGGUACUGACGCUGAGACGCGAAAGCGUGGGGAGCGAACAGG
rnacentral:rRNA from 1 species